AUUGAACGCUGGCGGCAUGCUUUACACAUGCAAGUCGAACGGCAGCGCGGGCUUCUUCCUGGCUGCGAUUUGCGAACGGUUGUGUAAUUCAUCUGAACUCGCCCAUUAUUGUGGUAUAGCCCGUCUAAAGCCGUAUUAAUACCGCAUUCGACCUGUUGUUUAAAGCGGUGGUCCUAAAUUCCUCUCGCUCUUUUAUCUUCCGAUUUCGGAUUUUCUAGUUGGUUGGGUAAAGGCUUACCAAGGCGACGAUCCGUAGCUGGUAUGAGAGGAAGACCAGCGAAACUGGGAGUGAGACACGGAACAGACACCUACGGGAGGCAGCAGUGGGGAAUGUUGGACAAGGGGGGAAAACAUGAUACAGCAAUGCCGCGUGAGGGAAGAAGGCCUUCGGGUUGUAAACCGAUUUUGUUCGGGAAGAAAAACUGUGGGAUAAUAACCCGGGGGGAUGACGGUACCGGAAGAAUAAGCACCGGCUAACUACGUG
rnacentral:rRNA from 1 species